CAGUGACUCCACACCCACAGAAGGAGAGGGGGAUGAAGAAAUCUGCCAGGAGGGUGCCUCCCGCCAGUAUCUGAUGAAGGAGGAAAUGGAUCCAGCCAGAAGGAUCAGAGAGUGUCAGAAGAUCUGGAAACUUCCUCCGUAGGGCCAAAGCCUCAAAAUAUGCCAUUCUAUUCUGGGGAAUGCCAUUUCUAUUCAGGGCUCCAUCCAUCAAAUGGAAAUGGGACUCUAGGCUACUUUCCCAUCUCCCAGGAAUUUGGAUGCCUAGAACACAACAAUUCUUUUAAUCUUCUAAGUUAAAAAAAAAAAAUUCGGGGACAGGUGCAGUGGUUCACUCUUGUAAUCCCAGCAGUUUGGGAGGCCGAGGUGGGCAGAUCACUUGAGGCUAGGAGUUGAAGGCCAGCCUGGGCAACAUAGUAAGACCCUAUCUCUCAAAAAAAAAAAAAAAACAAAAAAAACAA
rnacentral:lncRNA from 1 species